UACGUAGGGGGCAAGCGUUGUCCGGAUUUAUUGGGCGUAAAGAGCGUGUAGGCGGCUUGGUAGGUCCGCUGUGAAAACUCGAGGCUCAACCUCGAGAUGUCGGCGGAAACCACUUGGCUAGAGUCCGGAAGAGGAGAGUGGAAUUCCCGGUGUAGCGGUGAAAUGCGUAGAGAUGCGGAGGAACACCGAUGGCGAAGGCAGCCCCCUGGGCUAACACUGACGCUCAGGCACGAAAGCGUGGGGAGCAAACAGG
rnacentral:rRNA from 1 species